rnacentral:rRNA from 1 species
GACGGAGGAUGCGAGCGUUAUCCGGAAUUAUUGGGCGUAAAGCGUCCGCAGGUGGCUGUUCAAGUCUGCUGUCAAAGCGCAGAGCUUAACUCUGUACAGGCGGUGGAAACUGAAGAGCUAGAGUAUGGUAGGGGUAGAGGGAAUUCUCGGUGUAGCGGUGAAAUGCGUAGAUAUCGGGAAGAACACCAGUGGCGAAAGCGACUCUUUGGCCUGUAACUGACGCUGAGGCGCGAAAGCGUGGGGAGCAAACAGG